GGCUGGCCCUAUUUAGCUGCACUCUGGUGAUUUCUUUCUCUAAUUCUAUUGAAAUAAUAAUCAGGGUUUGUUUCUGAUUAAUUAACUAACCUUUUGGUAAAAAGAUUAGAUAACGAAAUUGCUGCCUAUUCAGAGAUAAUGAGAUUUUUAUUACUCUGUCAAAAGGGGGAAAAAAAGUACAUUAUGUGUCACCAGCCGCUGUGUCAAGAGGGGGGUGAGGUGGAGAUUUAAGUCUUUGUCAGAUGUGGAUAUUCCUCACCAGAGGAAGGGUGCGAUUCCAUCUCCAGGAAAUCCCUUGUCUCCUUGGAAGCCAUUAAGGAGGGGUUUUAAAACAGCAAACAGAGUAAUAAACACGGUUAGGCUGAUGGCUUUGGGGGAGGGUGCUAAUAUGUUUUAAAAUGUCUCCUAAUAGAAGAGGACUGCUCUCUAGUGUGGGCAACUUGGUGUUGAGUGUGGGUGUGUUUAUAUGAGCGAGAGAGUGUGAAGAAGGCAGUGAAACCCCCUCAUGCAAGGCUUUACAGUGACAGGGGCAGACAGCCUGCCCGGCCUCCGCUCUCCAGAUCUGUCCUGGGUCUGCAGGGCAUUGUCUUCCGGCAGGAGUGGUUCUUGGGCGAUGGGAAGGGGAAAUCACCGGAGCUCAGCCGGCUGGAGGUCACCUGUGACUGUCACAGGCAACUCAACCAUGAUGACUUCCCGUUUCAACUCUCCAUCUCAUGAUACAAUGCCCAAGGAUGCUCUGGCUAACGGAAGCAAGCUGUGCCCAGGCCAAAUGUGAGAAGCAUUGGCAGGGUCAGUCGAGAUCUGAUAUCUGUGAAGCAGUCCUCUCUGUGAUAUCAGAAAGGAUGGAUUGGCACGUCUGGUCUUUGCUGUAUGUAGGCCUGGCUAUUUGAUUAGAGCAGACCAAGUCAUACUUGCAUUUUGCUAUAGAGUUCAGUCUUGUUUUAUGUUUGUUACAACUAAAUGAUAUCCUAAACGCCUGGGAGAAAUCAGGUCUUUCAUCAAUGUAGUAAUGAGCUGUAAAUGUUCCAAUGUUUUGUGUCUGCGUUGGUACCCUCCUAUUGUUAACUGGCCAGUAUGAUCAAGAUGACAGUACUAUGAAGAUCUUCGCAGCCAGAUGGAAUCCCCUUGCCUUUGUUUACAUCCUCUAUGUGUAGUACCUAAAGGGUCUUUAAAUGGAACUUUCGAGAGCUUGAUUUAUAUGUUGCUGUACCAUUGCUUAAACUCGAAAUGAUUCGAGAGUGAACGGUUUCCUUUUCUUGUUUUUCUAAGUGCCUAGCCUGAGUCUUACAUUUAGAAAGGCUUCAUUAAAUGCUUAUUGAACUAGUUAACUA